UGAGGAAUAUUGGUCAAUGGACGCAAGUCUGAACCAGCCAAGCAGCGUGCAGGAUGACGGCCCUAUGGGUUGUAAACUGCUUUUAUAUGGGGAUAAAGUGGGGAACGUGUUCCCUUUUGCAGGUACCAUAUGAAUAAGGACCGGCUAAUUCCGUGCCAGCAGCCGCGGUAAUACGGAAGGUUCGGGCGUUAUCCGGAUUUAUUGGGUUUAAAGGGAGCGUAGGCCGUUUGGUAAGCGUGUUGUGAAAUGUAGGAGCUCAACUUCUAGAUUGCAGCGCGAACUGUCAGACUUGAGUGCGCACAACGUAGGCGGAAUUCAUGGUGUAGCGGUGAAAUGCUUAGAUAUCAUGAAGAACUCCGAUUGCGAAGGCAGCUUACGGGGGCGCAACUGACGCUGAAGCUCGAAGGUGCGGGUAUCGAACAGG
rnacentral:rRNA from 1 species